UUAUGUCUUGCUGAACCAUUUUUUUUUCCUGUACAGUAAGACUUUGGGAAUGAAAUGCUACAAUCUCCUCUUGUCUAUGGUGUUUUUCUGCAAUAGUUCCCUACGCAAUCAUUAUAGUAGAAUAAAGGAAAUAAUCUAGGGAUAGUGAUUCAAUAAAUAACAGGUGCCCUGUCUAGAGCGUACGCGUCCUUGAGCCACGCACCUGCAUGAUGACCGCAUACCGAGAGACUAUUGUUUCAGGUUGACCUUGUCUAGAGGAGCAUAAGUGGAAAAAAACUGUGUAGCCCUGAGACAGUAGGAUGACGUUACGACCAAUGAGAACGGCCUGCAGGGGGCGCAAGGAUUCACUUCUCUCUUGGACACUGACGGGUCUCGACACGCAAAUUCUGCUCCUGGCGUUGGCCGUCAGUGGAAGAGCGUAGCUUCGGUGGGGUUCUGUCUGCCUCUGAUGGGGUGCGGAUGUGUGGUUCGUCACUGGUGAAUGGUGUUCGACGAUGCAGGUGGAUUUUGUGACGAGUGGGUUUAAAAUGAGGGAAUGCUGUGAACGGGAAAAAUGAUGGUGAGUGCCUUUUUCACUCUGUUCAAGUGUUUGUUUUCCUCUGUUGCCCAGCAGUCGUACGAUUUGUCCUGACGUGUCCUGAUAUGCCCCGAUAUGCAUGCUUUCCUUUGUUGACGCUUAGUAUUUUUUUCUUUUUUGACAAGGAACAUUGUCGUCUUGACGAUAGUGCUGCCCCGAGUUCUGCGCGCGUUGAUUUGUUGAGUGCCUAGUCCUCUUAUUAGCCAUUGAUGGAGUUACAUGUUAGGAUGUUUUGUUCUUUUGCAAGUCUCAUUUAGUAAGACUUUGGAAUUCCUACGAUCAGUUUUCAUGCAUGGUGCUCUUCUGCAAUAGUUUCCUAUGCAAUCGUUAUAGAAGAAUAAAGGAAAUAAUCUUGGGAUAGUGAUUCAAUAAAUAAUAGGUCCCCUGUCUAGAGCGCACGCGUCCUUGAGCCACGCAGGUGCAUGAUGACGUCAUACCGUGGCUUCACUGCUGAUUGACCAAAGGAGCAUUAGUGGAAAAAAACAGUGUAGCCCUGAGACAAUAGGAUGAUGUCUGGACCAAUGAGAACUGCCAGCAGGGGGCGCAGGAAUGCUCUUCUCACUUAGCCUCACGACCAAUGAGAACGGCCAGCAGGGGGCGCAGGAAUGCUCUUCUCUCUUAGCCUCUCGCAGGUGGCGGUAGGAGCGCGCAGAGGGCGCUGCGAGCGCGCUCAUGCGUAGCACCCGUAGAGUGGCGCUUACGUCAGUCCACCUCUCGCUCUCGUUGGGAGAAGACGUGCGGUCGUUCGCUCCGUCGUCACUUGAUCCCUGGCUGUCGACGAGAGCAGUCGCAUCGGUCUGCGCUCCUACUGUGAGCUGUCCUAACUUGCCCAGACAUGCCAUGAUGACGUCACAGCUGACGUCACAGGAUGUGCGGAACUGGUGCUGCGAUGCUUUGCAACCUGCCUCUGUGCUCCGUCGCCCAGCGACGGUCAGCGGCCGUUCCGGGCCGCUUUCUUCAAGAUGACGUCGUUGAUCUUCAACUAAACUCCUUCUCUCCACUCUAUCUCUAUCUUUUUAUUUUAUUUUCUACCUAUUUUUUAUUUUUUAUCAGCUCAACUAGCCCACAACUCACACAGUGGUCUGGACACGUCCUAGAUGCGCCCCAAUUAGUGUAAUGACUCCCUGAAUGAUCCUGAUUAAUGUGGGGGGUCCCAAUUAGCUCUAAUUGCUCAUUAAUGGCGUCCAGACGAAGAUGUGAGUUGUGGGCCAGUUGAGCUGAUCCCAUACUACUAUGGCACAGUGCAAGAAAUCCUCACGUCUGUUUUAGGCAUGCACCGCAUUGCAGCAAAAUUUGUGGGGAGCAUCCUGACCUAAGGGCCUGGGUUGAUGAACUGAUGAGUUCAACAGCAUCGCGUGGAACUCAAUCGGGACCUUCGUGAGCACGUUUUGAACGAUUCAAGAUUUAUGUCAAGGGUCAUCACUGGGGGCUAGACGUAGGUAUACGGUUAUAUCCCCUCGGAGUUAUAUCCCCAAACGAAAAGAAGGCGAGGCAAGCCAGGAGCGCGACCUAGUGCAUGCUCAUCUUUUUGUUUUUUUUUAUAUAUAUUUGCGGAGUUGUGCAGUAAAUUUGUCCCCGAGGGCCAGACCGUUAACGCACAGUUUUACUGCUACAUUCUCAGGCGUUUGAGGAAGGACUUUCGACGCAAGAGGCCUGAGCUGUAUCGCGGGGGCAAUUGAAUGCUCCACGGCUACAGUGCACCUGCUCACAAAGCAUGAGAAACUCGACAAUGUUUGGGUCGCAGCAGAAUAAGCACCGUUCCACACCCGCCCCACUCGCCGGAUUUGGCCCCCCUGCGACUUUUUCCUCUUCCCAACGAUGAUGCUUAGGCUGAAGGGUCGCCUAAGGAAAGAAACCGUGAGCGAGUUCCGGCGUGAACCGCUCCAAGACCGUGCUCCAAGAACAGACUUCCAGGAAGCGUCGCGAAUGUGGGAAAAGCACUGGGAGCGGUGUAUCAGUGCACAAGGAGACUCCUUUGAGGGUGAUGAUUGUUCAUACGCACCUAUUCUCGGAACUUUUUCUCGUAUGGUGAACCAGCUUUCCCGCGUCUGUGCGAUUCGUUGGUUAGCCGUAAGCGUACUACGUGCUCAAGUCUCUUUUUAAAAUGUAGGGUUGAAUUUAAUGCGGUGAUUUCGUUGACAUACACAGAGAGUAGGAAAUCAGGCUUCCUGAAUUGCCAGACAAGUUGCCGUCGAGUAAGAUAACAGUCAGCGCAGGUAGCAAUCCACUUAUCAUCCAUCGACCCGAAGAUGGAAUGCACAACCACUCUGCGGAUCACCCGAAGGGAAGAAACUAUCGUACACCGUUUACGGUUAAACGUAGCCCGAACACUGUCACUGCUAUACAAGAUGGACCAACUGAACUCCUCAGCAUGCGCAACGUGCAGGGUGGAAGCAGACACAGCGCAUCUACUACUGCACUGCAGACGUUACGACACUGCACGCGACACUCUCAAAGGACGCAUGACUGCUCUGGGACACACACACAUAGACUUUCAUUUAUUACUUGGCCCUGUCCGACACUGCCGUCAGUGGUGCGCCACUCGAGCUUUCCUCGACUUCCUCCACAGGAGAGAGCUCAUAAACAAAUUAUGAGUUGGCCUUGCAUGUCACCUACACAUCACUUCACCCUCAUCGUCCUAUAUUUGGUUUUACUUCAUCUUUGUGAUAGAUUUUGAUUUAGGAAUAGCAAGCCGACCUUCGGUCAGGCUGACCUUUCCGUAAUAAACGUAUAUCCCCCCCCCCUCCCGGCUGGAAGGGCCGAGAAACAUAAAACGCGUAAGCAUAUUGGUUUUGUGUGAUGCCAUGUCUUGCGCUGUAGCUAUACGAUGCUGUUGUGCGAAUGCUCUUUGGGAAGGAGACAUCUGUCAUUGAGAAGUGAAGCUCAGAGAGCUUAAAAUAGCAAGAAUAUAUCCUAAACUGGCAUUCCUGCAACAUAAUGAUUAGUCGAGUAGUGAGUGCUUCUUUGUUCUCUGCAGUGAGGGAAAUGCGCCUGCACGCAAGUGAUUUGCAGUUUAGUCAAAUGUGCCUACAUGGCUAUUUGACGUACCGGUUGUGUAGUAUAGUAUCAACCUGAAAGACUGCGGUUGACGACAAGUGAGUGAGCGCCAGUGACGGGCACGAAAUUUCGUAUACUCGCCUGCAUUUCGUUAACUGCCCUCGUUGAGAUCAUUGCAUGAUUGUUCGCCCAGCCGCUACACUAUGUGUGCUAUGUACCAUUCUACUUGU